rnacentral:misc_RNA from 1 species
GAUGAAGAACGCAGCGAAAUGCGAUACGUAAUGUGAAUUGCAGAAUUCAGUGAAUCAUCGAAUCUUUGAACGCAUAUUGCGCUCUUUGGUAUUCCGAAGAGCAUGCUUGUUUGAGUAUCAGUAAACACCUCAAAGCUUUUGGAUUUUUUAAUCGAAAAGCUUUGGACUUGAGCAAUCCCAACACCAAUCUUUUUGAGAUCGGUGGCGGGUUGCUUGAAAUGCAGGUGCAGCUGGACAUUCUCCUGAGCUAAAAGCAUAUUCAUUUAGUACCGUCAAACGGAUUAUUACUUUUGCUGCAGCUAACAUAAAGGGAGUUUGACCGUAUUGGCUGACUGAUGCAGGAUUUCACAAGGGUCGGCAACGAUUCUUGUUAAACUCGAUCUCAAAUCAAGUAAGACUACCCGCUGAACUUAAGCAUAUCAAUAAGCGGAGGA